rnacentral:lncRNA from 1 species
AAUUUUUCUUCGAUCACAUUCAGCAAAGCCACAAAUUUUCUACCCGUAAACCCCAAAACUACCACGCUAUCUGCUAUCAAUUAAAAAGUCCUCGAAUCUCCAGUCCACCAGCUUCGAUGCUAGUUCAACAUAGUGCCCUAGCUUUCUUCGAUUGUCUCACCGAACGGUGGAUAGAAGUGGAGAUGUAGUUGUAAAUGGCUUAGGUUUGUGCUUAGGGUUGGGUCUUGCUGGUAAUAGUAGUGAUGGCGACGGGGAAAGAGGAGGAAUGGGGAUUGUGUCGGUGGCAUGUAGAAGAAGCGACAAAGGGAUUUGGGGGAAUGACGUUGAAGGAAGCGCGGAUCGUAAUGGAUCUCUUAUUUCUUGGUCAACCGUAUUCAAUU